AGAGUUUGAUCCUGGCUCAGGAUGAACGCUAGCUACAGGCUUAACACAUGCAAGUCGAGGGGCAGCAUGAACUUAGCUUGCUAAGUUUGAUGGCGACCGGCGCACGGGUGAGUAACACGUAUCCAACCUUCCGUUUACUCAGGGAUAGCCUUUCGAAAGAAAGAUUAAUACCUGAUAGUAUGGUGAGAUUGCAUGAUAGCACCAUUAAAGAUUUAUUGGUAAACGAUGGGGAUGCGUUCCUACUU
rnacentral:rRNA from 1 species